UGUAUCUGAAGUCUGACGAGGAUGAGAACCUCCGGGGGCAAGAGGUUCGACUCGAGCGAAGCGAGAGAACGUUGCGUCAGCAACGGCCCGCAGGGCGAGCCACGCAGUGGCGAGUCAUUCUCUAUCACCGACCA
rnacentral:sRNA from 4 species